CUUCACGAAGUUCCUGGUUGUCUGAUAUUGGAUUUCUUUCCACCAAGCGAAAUUUUAAAGUUAUUCUGUAUAGUUAAGACAUUCACUUGUUUUCCUGGUAGAGCUAUGUGUGUACUUUUUACAAUCGCGGUUGUUGGCUUGGACGGAGUCUUUGUGACACUUAGUGGCGUAUUGGUUUUUGUAUUGACUCCUGGUGUGGUGAUGAGUUUGUUGAUUGUUGUGGUGGGUAGGGGUGUAGUGCCUGCGUGCGUUUUGAUAGUUGGGACUGGACCUGGAGGACCUGGGGGUAUAGGUUUUGUUGUAGGGUGUACUGUGGGAGAGGGGCAUAUAGGCAAACCUUGAGAACAGAGUGAAUGGUAGGGUGGUUGUUGGCACAGUGUUAUAUCAAUG